rnacentral:rRNA from 1 species
GACCCUGAUGCAGCCAUGCCGCGUGUGUGAAGAAGGCCUUCGGGUUGUAAAGCACUUUCAGUUGUGAGGAAAAGUUAGUAGUUAAUACCUGCUAGCCGUGACGUUAACAACAGAAGAAGCACCGGCUAACUCCGUGCCAGCAGCCGCGGUAAUACGGAGGGUGCGAGCGUUAAUCGGAAUUACUGGGCGUAAAGCGCACGCAGGCGGUUUGUUAAGCUAGAUGUGAAAGCCCCGGGCUCAACCUGGGAUGGUCAUUUAGAACUGGCAGACUAGAGUCUUGGAGAGGGGAGUGGAAUUCCAGGUGUAGCGGUGAAAUGCGUAGAUAUCUGGAGGAACAUCAGUGGCGAAGGCGACUCCCUGGCCAAAGACUGACGCUCAUGUGCGAAAGUGUGGGUAGCGAACAGGAUUAGAUACCCUGGUAGUCCACACCGUAAACGCUGUCUACUAGCUGUGUGUGUCUUUAAGACGUGCGUAGCGAAGCUAACGCGCUAAGUAGACCGCCUGGGGAGUACGGCCGCAAGGUUAAAACUCAAA